rnacentral:rRNA from 1 species
UACGUAGGGCGCAAGCGUUAUCCGGAAUUAUUGGGCGUAAAGAGCUCGUAGGCGGUUUGUCGCGUCGGCUGUGAAAACCUAGGGCUCAACUCUGGGCUUGCAGCCGAUACGGGCAGACUAGAGUGCGGUAGGGGAGACUGGAAUUCCUGGUGUAGCGGUGGAAUGCGCAGAUAUCAGGAGGAACACCGAUGGCGAAGGCAGGUCUCUGGGCCGCAACUGACGCUGAGGAGCGAAAGCAUGGGAGCGAACAGG